rnacentral:lncRNA from 1 species
CAAUUUAUAGCCUUAAACCAAAUAGCUCCUAUUAAGAUAUUUACAAUUUUGUCACAAUAUAUGGAAAAUUGGUGAGUUCACUUAUUAUCUACUAUAUAUAGUAGGUUUGCAAAAGGGUCUAUGAUUUCUGAUGGUGGACAAAGCAAGAACUGGGGGUAGGGUAUAGGAUGAGAUAAUAAGGAAGUAGGAGGUGAGGAUAUAGAAUUAUUAGAUCUUAGGAAGCGUGAAAGAGGAAUCAAGAGAAGUUGGCUAGUAGCAGGAGAAAAGACAGAAAGUGAUUUUGGGAAGACAAGUAAGUGGGAAGACAACAGAGAGAGUACAAAAAACAAGCAGCAAACAUAAAAAUUAAGAAAAAUAAAAAAUGUAAAAAUAGGAAAUAAAAGAACAUACAACACAACUGUAAUAUACUAUUCAGACAUCCCAGUCCUCAGUAGCCUAAUCCAUGAAAAAUACUUCUUUCACAAAUGUUGGGGAUGUUAGGUCAGGAGAAGAGAAGAGAGAAAGAGAGAAAGAGAGAAAGAGAGAAAGAGAGAAAGAAAGAAAGAAAGAAAGAAAGAAAGAAAGAAAGAAAGAAAUCUUGAAGGAAAAUUAAAGGAUUGUUUCUGUUGGACUUCAGUAUCUUUCCUGCUUCCCUUCUCAUCCAAUAGACGGGGUUGUCUGUUGUUUGCUGGUAUCUCCACCCUCAGGAUGGGGAAGGUUAUUAGGGUGGGAGGGUUGGUCUUAGAGGUGGAACUCCUGGAUAUGGGGUAUAGCACUUGCUGUCCCAAUUGGAACACUGCACUCCUUUGGGCCUGCUCACGUGAAGUGGGCACCUGGUCUUAUCUCUUUAUAUGGCCUGUAGACCUCACAAUUCCUGCUCUUUAAUUUAGUCUCUUAACUAUAUCUCACUCACCUCCUCCCUUUCUACUUCCCAAUCAGGAACCUCUCCAUGGAGGUCUUGUAGACUGCACUCUGGGGCCUGUGCACCUGUCACAGAGAGCUGUUUCAUAUUGGGCAGGUCAGGGCCAGUCUUUGUGAGCUAUAGACUGGCCACAUAGCUGUAAGGGCUAUGCCAGGUUAGUGGUUGCAGGAGAGAGAGGGGAGUUGGGGAACUAUAGUGCCUUGAUAUUGCUUCUAGACCCCAGCCAGUGUCCCAAGCUGGGAGUUGCCCCCAGUGGUGGUAGCAAGGAUAACCCAAGUUGGUGACAAAAGUGUCCCAAGAUGGAGGCGGCUGCUUUCAGAUAUUGGGUGUCAUGUUGGGCCAGGUGGUGGCAUUGGGCAUCUUCAUCAUAGAUGCAGCUUUGUGGCGUGCAG